GACGAACGCUGGCGGCGUGCCUAAUACAUGCAAGUAGAACGCUGAAGAGAGGAGCUUGCUCUUCUUGGAUGAGUUGCGAACGGGUGAGUAACGCGUAGGUAACCUGCCUUGUAGCGGGGGAUAACUAUUGGAAACGAUAGCUAAUACCGCAUAACAAUGGAUGACACAUGUCAUUUAUUUGAAAGGGGCAAUUGUUCCACUACAAGAUGGACCUGCGUUGUAUUAGCUAGUAGGUGAGGUAAUGGCUCACCUAGGCGACGAUACAUAGCCGACCUGAGAGGGUGAUCGGCCACACUGGGACUGAGACACGGCCCAGACUCCUACGGGAGGCAGCAGUAGGGAAUCUUCGGCAAUGGGGGCAACCCUGACCGAGCAACGCCGCGUGAGUGAAGAAGGUUUUCGGAUCGUAAAGCUCUGUUGUAAGUCAAGAACGGGUGUGAGAGUGGAAAGUUCACACUGUGACGGUAGCUUACCAGAAAGGGACGGCUAACUACGUGCCAGCAGCCGCGGUAAUACGUAGGUCCCGAGCGUUGUCCGGAUUUAUUGGGCGUAAAGCGAGCGUAGGCGGUUUGAUAAGUCUGAAGUUAAAGGCUGUGGCUCAACCAUAGUUCGCUUUGGAAACUGUCAAACUUGAGUGCAGAAGGGGAGAGUGGAAUUCCAUGUGUAGCGGUGAAAUGCGUAGAUAUAUGGAGGAACACCGGUGGCGAAAGCGGCUCUCUGGUCUGUAACUGACGCUGAGGCUCGAAAGCGUGGGGAGCGAACAGGAUUAGAUACCCUGGUAGUCCACGCCGUAAACGAUGAGUGCUAGGUGUUGGAUCCUUUCCGGGAUUCAGUGCCGCAGCUAACGCAUUAAGCACUCCGCCUGGGGAGUACGACCGCAAGGUUGAAACUCAAAGGAAUUGACGGGGGCCCGCACAAGCGGUGGAGCAUGUGGUUUAAUUCGAAGCAACGCGAAGAACCUUACCAGGUCUUGACAUCCCGAUGCUAUUUCUAGAGAUAGAAAGUUACUUCGGUACAUCGGUGACAGGUGGUGCAUGGUUGUCGUCAGCUCGUGUCGUGAGAUGUUGGGUUAAGUCCCGCAACGAGCGCAACCCCUAUUGUUAGUUGCCAUCAUUCAGUUGGGCACUCUAGCGAGACUGCCGGUAAUAAACCGGAGGAAGGUGGGGAUGACGUCAAAUCAUCAUGCCCCUUAUGACCUGGGCUACACACGUGCUACAAUGGUUGGUACAACGAGUUGCGAGUCGGUGACGGCGAGCUAAUCUCUUAAAGCCAAUCUCAGUUCGGAUUGUAGGCUGCAACUCGCCUACAUGAAGUCGGAAUCGCUAGUAAUCGCGGAUCAGCACGCCGCGGUGAAUACGUUCCCGGGCCU
rnacentral:rRNA from 1 species